rnacentral:rRNA from 1 species
UACAGAGGUCUCAAGCGUUGUUCGGAUUCAUUGGGCGUAAAGGGUGCGUAGGCGGCGCGGUAAGUCGGGUGUGAAAUCUUGGAGCUUAACUCCGAAACUGCAUUCGAUACUGCCGUGCUUGAGGACUGGAGAGGAGACUGGAAUUUACGGUGUAGCGGUGAAAUGCGUAGAUAUCGUAAGGAAGACCAGUGGCGAAGGCGGGUCUCUGGACAGUUCCUGACGCUGAGGCACGAAGGUCAGGGAGCAAACAGG